GCAGGUCCAGGUGGGGCCAUCUGGUUGUUAAAAAUGCAAAAACCUGAAAAGACAUCUUAAAAGGAUGAUCUUAGGUUCACAAUAGUGAUGUUACCUUCAAGAGUAAUUGGGGAAGUUGUAAAUCUAAUGACCUGUGGAAUAAUGACGUGCAUGAAAUUUGGUGCCCUGACUCGGAUCGGGAGACCUCCCUUGGGAGAUCGAUUCCCUGUCCUCCUGCUCUUUGCUGUGUGAGAACGAUCCACCUAUGACCUCAGGUCCUCAGACCAACCAGCCCAAGAAACAUCUCACCAAUUUCAAAUCUGAUCUUCUCGGCUUAGCGACUGAAGAUUGACACUGCCCAAUCGCCUCGGAAGCCCCCUAGACCAUCACGGACACCAAGCUUCAGGUAACUCUCACAGUAGAAGAUCCCCAGCCAUAUGAAGACACCCAAACUAGAUGAUCAGUUCUUGUUAAGAAUCUGACCCCUCAAACUCUACAACCUCGAUGGACCAGAC